UACGGGGGGAGCAAGCGUUGUUCGGAUUUACUGGGCGUAAAAGGCGCGUAGGCGGUCAGCACAAGUCAGUUGUGAAAUCUCCGGGCUUAACUCGGAAAGGUCAACUGAUACUGUGCGACUAGAGUGCAGAAGGGGCAACUGGAAUUCUCGGUGUAGCGGUGAAAUGCGUAGAUAUCGAGAGGAACACCUGCGGCGAAGGCGGGUUGCUGGGCUGACACUGACGCUGAUGCGCGAAAGCCAGGGGAGCGAACGGG
rnacentral:rRNA from 1 species